AAAAUCUUUUUUCUAGCUGCAUCAUUUUCUGGGGAGAUGUUAGAAUGGAGUAGGCACCAAAGCUCUGAAGUCAGGUGGUUUCUAAUUCCAAUUCUGCAACACGCUGGUGAUAUAACCAUGGGCACGUUUCUUGAUUUCACGGAGCGUGUUUCCUCAUCUGUAAAAUGGAAAGAAAUCAGGCCAGAAUCAACGUGAGGAUAAAAUAACAGAACAGAAAAGUUACUCCAAGCAUGAAUCUUGCAGUAUGUCUAUAGCGUUAUCUUCUCAUGCAAAGAACAGCAAAAUAUACAAAGUGGAACUCUUGUUAUCUGAUGCAACCAAGAAUCAAUAAUAAAGAAAUGGUGAAUAUUUGUUAUAAUGUCCUGAGGCUCAGCAUUAGUGACAAGGAUAUUUCUAACUACCAACUAAUAAAUGGAUCUUGAUUUAAUGAAAAUUAUGUAUUAAGGGGUCCUGUUCUGUCAACCAAAGGGGAUUCGAUUCGAUCUGUCCUGUUCAUGUCAUGAAAUGCUUCAUUUAACCUUUCCUCAAAGCAAUUGAUGCCAGCUAGCCGUAGACCUCCACAAUUAAGGGGACCAGCAGGAAGCAAUCUAUUAUUAGUGAUCAUUGGAAGGAAUAAGGAUCAGCCCCAAAAUGAGUUAAUGGAUCUUCUAGUAAGACACAGGCUUCAAAAUUGGCUGGUAGUAGGAACACCCAGGCCACCAACACCACUGAGCCACCCCAGAUGGUUGUUUCAGUGGUUGGGAACCAACCAUAAGCUGAACUUGUGAGACACUUCAUCAAGAUUUCUGCACUUGAGCCGAAGAAGCUGGAGUAUUAAUUCCUUGGAUGUUUGAAUCACAAUAUGUGCAAUAAAGAAACCACCCACAG